rnacentral:rRNA from 1 species
CCCUUAGAUGUUCUGGGCCGCACGCGCGCUACACUGAUGCAUUCAACGAGUCUAAAACCUGCUCUGAUAGGGGUGGGUAAUCUUUUGAAUGUGCAUCGUGAUUGGGAUAGAUGAUUGCAAUUUUUCAUCUUCAACGAGGAAUGCCUAGUAAACGCAAGUCAUCAGCUUGCAUUGAUUACGUCCCUGCCAUUUGUACACACCGCCCGUCGCUCCUACCGAUUGAAUGAUCCGAUGAAUAUCAUGGAUUGAGGAUGCAAGCAGGUUCGCCUGUCUUCAUCUUCGAGAAGUGAAGUAAAUCUUAUCAUUUAGAGGAAGGAGAAGUCGUAACA